AUAAGCUGUGCCAUGGUAAUCCUAAGUAAUGCUUUCUUAGUAUAUAUGCACUGAACAUUUUAUUAUUCAGUAUACCUUCUUAAGGGACAAUAUUCCUUAUGCUUAAUCUCUCAUAGAAAAAGCAUAGAUUAGAUAUAAACAAUAACUGCUUAAGCUGGGGAUACAUGCUCCAUCUAAUCAUUGUACAAGAUGAGGCAAACUGCUCAGAAACUAGUUUUUAAGCUUUAUAGAUUUACUCAGCGGAACAAGUGCAUUGCACGAAACAAACUGAUGCAGUGCCAAAGCUCACACAGGGGCAGAUCUCAAAUUGCCUGGCACAAGGCUGUUUUAGCCAGAAGUUUGGAGCAUUUGAAGGAAGUGACUGUGAGAGGCAGUGCCCCCCACACCUUACCACCUCAGAACUCAGGGGAAAGCAGAAGCUAUUGGCCUUGAACACAAUGGAUGUGUAAUUGGUCUCAUGUUGGGAGAAAAAACUGUUUUUGUUGGCAGGUCUUCCCUUUAACUUGGCAAAACCUUGGAAGAUCAUAUACCACUGUACAGUCUGUGGGCUGCUGCCCAUCUUUCAUAUGAUCUGCCUUUGAUACCACAACAUUUUUUAUUCACAAGAUAACAGGGCUUUACAGAUAGGAUCUUUCUCUGACAUUAAAAUGGUUCCACAUCCUCUCUCCAGGACAAGUUACCUCUCGAGCCAAGAAUGCUUCAGUUUAAGUGCAUGGAGCCAGUCACACACUGCUUUGAGCUGCAUUUGCCAGGGUUUGGCACUUAUAUUUAUGUCUGAUUUUUUGCCUCCAGUUUUAUCUUUCCUAUUCUUACAUUUGCAUAUGAAACGUACUCCAGGGUUUGCUGCUCUCCUGCAUCUUAGGCAGUUUUACAGUUGCCCAGGAAAGGUGUAAAAGAGGCUUCCUGGCAUAAUGGAUCAUCUAAACUGUGCUGCCAGAGCUGACCCACCAGUGACAGCUAUGCAGGUCUUUACAUGUCAGCCAUAACUUCAGAACAUCUUUGUUUCUCUGCCCCUAAGGGAAAGGAAUGUGGGCUUGCAGUGCCUUGACACUGAUUCCUUUUUCUGAAAGAUUCCCAGGAGGAAGUGAGGUCAAGAGAAGAAGGGAUUUGUGGGUAAAGUAUGAAGUGUUGUGAAAGGAUGGCAGCAGUGUUGGAGAAGUCUUUAUUUUAGCAUAUCAGUGAAUUGUGAGUUGCAAUUUCAUCCUCUUUUUAUUCCCCAGAGUGAAAAGGAGAAUUCUAAUUUUCUAUUGAAACAAAAGAUUUAUGCAUAAUGUUCUAUAUCUUAUAGUAGGCAUUGGGUUGGAGAGCAUGACUCAAACUUUCAGGCUGGAAACAACUUGCUGUGCCCACAGAAGUAGCAAAGGAUACGUAACCACAUCCCUUAUGGAUAAGAAUGGAGCAUACAAAGACUGUUGAAGAUGAGGCAUUGAAAAAAAGAAAUACAAAUGCUUCUGGAGACCUUAUAAAAUGACAGUUAACUCUACUGUUCAACAGAAGUCCCUCUGGCAGACUGUUUAAGCUGCACUCUCUUAUCCAGCCAUUAGAGGAGAACAGUUCUGGGAAGAAUGAGAGUUUGGAGUUACUCUGCCACGUCAAGAGUGCGGAGCUUCAUCUAAGCAACCUACUGUUGUCAUCAGGCAAACAAAUAAGCAAAACCUAACCCAUGUACCUGGAAGGCUGGAGAAUAGCUCAUCACUGCUAGUCAUGCAAGAAAGGAGGGUUUGGCAUAUGUGUAAGAAUUACUGGUUAGCUGGAUUUUCAAACUUCAAGAAAAAGUUGGGCUUGCAUUUUGAGUAAAGUUUCUUCUUUUACCUCAGCAAUGUCCUUGUUCCAAGUUUAUUUUGGCAUGCUGCUCAUUGGUAAUAUGAUUCUUGUCUGUGUUUAUGUAAAGUAUCCUGCAUUCCUGAGCACCCCACACUGACUGACAUUAAUGCAGGUUUGUGUUACAUUUGCAGUUCAUGACUGAACUUCAUUUUGGGCACCUACAUUUAGCUACUGUAAGGCACUCCUGAGGGAAAAAAAAUCUACCCAAGUAAUACAUUCUCAGCAAACACUGUUAGUGUGAAGCGCUGUGUCUAUAGAAUAACUUAGCACAGUGGCAGAGUAGAUGGAUGCUAGCUACAAAAAUGUACAGAUCUGUAAAUCAUACAUUACACUAAGCACCAAGAUGAUGCAUUGCAGCUCUAUGCCAUCUUUCUCUCUUGAGUGUUACAAUCAUAUCUGCCCGUUGUUGUACAGUUAGAAAUUGGAAAAAAAAAAUAAAAAUCAAGUAUUACGCAAGGUCUCAUGGUUGCAUUUAACCAACCUCAAAACUCAGAUGUAUUUACAAUUAAAAAUCAGGCAAAGUAUUUCUCAAACUUAAGAUUUACUGGGCUCUUAAAAUUUGUUAGCAACAACAAAUUCCAGUCCCUUGGUUCAAAAUACUCUUAAUUGUAUCCAGGAAUUGCAGGGUGACCCAUACUCAUCAUUGAAUUAUAAAUGGGAUGGAGAUGAACUCCUGAAAAGCCCACCAUGGUGUGACAAAAUGCACAUGCAUCACUGUUAGAUGUUAGAUAAGCUUUCUAAGACCUGUAUAUAAAAAUUCAAUUUCUGAUAUUCUAUGAGAAAUUUUUUUGUAAAAACUGUAAUUUGAAUCAAAUUCAGGUCCUAUGUCAACACUGAUAUCUUAAAUGCUCUCAGUUUUUUAGUUCCUAUCUAUAUAAUUUCAGACUGAAAAAGUGGCACAUGGCAAUUCAGUGUUAGCUGUAAACAGAUGAGGGUAAGCUGGAACAAUUUACUGAAAGUUAUAUCCAUGUUGGAAUAUAUUCCUUUUAUUUUGCAUGCCAGAUAAUGGGAAGAAUAAACAAAAUUAGAUCUAUAAUUUUGCACCAAAGUGGCUUCUACAAGUGAAAAUGCACUCACAGAAUGACAUGUCAUGAUUUUACUCCUUGUGUCUAAGGAAGUAGUUACAUGUUCCUCUAUUUGCGACUUCUUUCUGAAUGUCAACUGCAGACCCAAAAGUGCAGGCUGUAAUUGGUGCAAAAAAUAGAUGCAAGUUAUUGUGCAAAAGAGAUUGCUGAGUACAGGAAUGCAAGUUUAAGUAAUAGAAAUAUCUUUUGACCUUUUGUAUGUCAUUUAUUUCAGGUUCUUAUCUUGACAGAGUAGAAGGAGCUUAAUAUCAGUUAACAUACUUUGUUAUGCUGUAGUUCAGUGCAUUCAUCAAAGACCAAUAAUAGAGCCUGAAGGUUCUGGACAAUAAUGUGCUGCAAACAACUGUUUGCCUCACUACCUUUUUACUUACACGUAAUUUGUGUUUGUUUCUGGAAGGUGAUAUCUGGCUUUAAUAACAUCCAUGGACAACCCAUGCGAAAUAAGAAGCAGGAGAAAGGAGCAUACUUUGAGGAGCAAACUAUUUGGGUGUAUUUCCUCUUGUAUAUUUGGAGAAGCGCAGGACUUGGAAUUCUCUGAAACAUAAGCUGGCUCUUCUUCCUCUCCCCAGAGAACCCGUUCUCCAGGAAGAAUUGCAGAUGCUUUCAUCCCACAAAGCAUGUUGCCUGGACAAGUCUUCAGGAGUUGUUUGCCUGCUGGCCAUGACAACGCAUGUAGCUGGAUGAGGAAUAGCCUGAGCACAAGAAGUUUUUCUGGGAAUGCAUCCAAGGAAUGCUAGCAGAGGCUUUCUAGUUAAUCAGUUUGUCAAAAGCAAGACUUUUUCAGCAUGCAGCAUCAUUCACGUAAUUUUUCAUUAAGCCUUUUAAUGUAAGCGCCAUUAAAGCAAGCAGCUGUGAUAUGGAAAUGUUUGUUUAUGCAAGAUCACUUGAAAGUCCUAACUUUUCAUCUGUGCAACAACAAACUGAACUACAGAUACUGAGCGCUGCUGAACAGCAGCCACAACAUAGCCACACACCACACACUCGCACACAGUCUUCCUUAAAGUUUGCUCUCUGUUCAUACAUCAUAACAGAAGUGUUACUCAUAAAGGAUUUAAAGUCUCCAAGCAUAUGCAUCCAUUUCCACCAUUAAAGUGGAUUCAGGUGCUUGGCAUGACUGUCUCCAGGCAGACUUCCUUUAAAUAAUUGAUAGCUGCCGUCCCAUUUCCCCACAGUUGUGUAUCUGGAUGUGCUCACAUUGCAUUUAUGGGGGGGUUUGUACAAGUUGCUGGCUUACAGAACACGUGGUAAGGAUCUCACACUUUCUUUUAUUAACGUGAUCUAUUUUCACAUUCUCAGAUGACAAACUGUGCCAAAUGAGCUUUCUUGCACCUACUUUGAUACGAUGAGAAAUUUGUAUGUCAGCCACAGCUGUCCUGAAAAGGUUGUAAAACUUUCAGUGGUGUGAGGCACUUGGAUUUGAUUGCCAGAAGAUGUUGAGUGAAAAAGGGAGAGAGAUGUGUUAGAAAUUAACCUUUCCAAUAUUUAGCUGUGAAGAAAUGUGUUGCAUUUUGACAUAUCUGUUUUCUUAAGAGAAAGCCAUAGCACUCCUCUGUAGUGUCACAGUCAAAAUCUUGCCACUGGUGAAAGUCAAUAUGCUGCAAGCACUGAACCAAGAACUUUCCAUUAGGUAAGUUAGUCUAUUAUGACUCUGGUCAAACUUACCUAUUUGAUACAAUAAACCUCAUUAAUCAUAUGGCUAAAAUGUUACAGAAAAAAGCCUUCCUUUCUUCCCCUUUUCUCUGCUGUUAUAUUCACCAUUUCAAAGUCCUUCUGAGUCCUCAGUGCAAUAGUUUUGAGAUUCCUCAAAAGGAAGGGGAAGUUCACAAUGAUGACAUCAGCAUCCUGAGGACAAACAAAUUUAUUGUUGUCGUUUUUUUCUGCAGUGAGUACCAAUUUGUUUGUCAGUCCUUUCCCAUGUAUGGUUUCUCCAGAGCUAAGCCAAAAGAGGUGAGGCAAUAAGCAAUGGCCUGGCAGUCAGGUGACAUCAAAAAAUAUUGCCAAACACGUUGUUUGAAGGGACACAGAGAAGUGGUUGAAGGCCUUAAUCUGUUUCUUCUGUCUGAUUUUUGAGUUCAUUAAAGGAACAGAGUAAAUCUCAGUCAGACUUCUGAAAAUUGAGAUGCGAGCUUUCAGGAUCCAGGCAAUUCACUGCCCUUUUGCACAGAAAUGAGUAUCAUUCAGCAACCGUCAUCUUACCUAGACAGUAUGUUUUUUAAUACUCAGAUCGUGGUCAUCUAGCUUCUCUUCCACAUCAAUAGAUUGUCAGAUUUUUGUGAAAGUGAAAAAGAGUUAGGGCUAUGAUGUCUUUAGGUGCUCGUCUAUUUCAGACUUUCAGUUCAAGUAUAUUCCAGGGUUCCUCACGUAUUUGUCAAACUUGUGUGAGACUGUUUUGUUGAAGGCUGUAGUUCCCCCAGUCCUCCUUUUUCACAUUUUAUAAAACAGGUCUGAAAUUUGCCUUUUUCUUCAGACACAGAGUCGUAUAUUUUGUAAGACCAGGGAUAAUAGACUUGCAGACAGUGCAAAACACCGCUCUGGUUAGGCUGAGGUCAAUGUUUAAGGAGGCCUUGCUGAUAUAAUUCUAUUAAUUUAGUAAUGGGUAUUUAGUGGCUCUUCCGGUAUGACAACUCUAGUUUCCUGAUAAUCUUUUUAUUGUUAGAAAACCAAACUGAUUCAUGACUU